UACGUAGGGAGCAAGCGUUGUCCGGAAUCAUUGGGCGUAAAGCGCGCGUAGGUGGCCUCAUAAGUCCGCUGUGAAAGUCAAAGGCUCAACCUUUGAAAGCCGGUGGAUACUGUGAGGCUAGAGUACGGAAGAGGCGAGUGGAAUUCCUGGUGUAGCGGUGGAAUGCGCAGAUAUCAGGGGGAACACCAAUAGCGAAGGCAGCUCGCUGGGACGUUACUGACACUGAGGCGCGAAAGCGUGGGGAGCGAACAGG
rnacentral:rRNA from 1 species